GAUGAACGCUGGCGGCGUGCUUAACACAUGCAAGUCGAACGGUGAAGCAGAGCUUGCUCUGUGGAUCAGUGGCGAACGGGUGAGUAACACGUGAGCAACCUGCCCCGGACUCUGGGAUAAGCGCUGGAAACGGCGUCUAAUACCGGAUACGAGAUUCCACCGCAUGGUGAGUUUCUGGAAAGAUUUUUUGGUCUGGGAUGGGCUCACGGCCUAUCAGCUUGUUGGUGAGGUAAUGGCUCACCAAGGCGUCGACGGGUAGCGGGCCUGAGAGGGGUAGCGGCCACACUGGGAAUGAGACACGGCCCAGACUCCUCAGGGAGGCAGCAGUGGGGAAUAUUGCACAAUGGGCGGAAGCCUGAUGCAGCAACGCCGCGUGAGGGAUGACGGCCUUCGGGUUGUAAACCUCUUUUAGCAGGGAAGAAGCGAAAGUGACGGUACCUGCAGAAAAAGCACCGGCCAACUACGUGCCAGCAGCCGCGGUAACAC
rnacentral:rRNA from 1 species